rnacentral:rRNA from 1 species
UUAUUUGAGAGUUUGAUCCUGGCUCAGGAUGAACGCUGGCGGCGUGCCUAACACAUGCAAGUUGAGCGAUUUACUUCGGUAAAGAGCGGCGGACGGGUGAGUAACGCGUGGGUAACCUACCCUGUACACACGGAUAACAUACCGAAAGGUAUGCUAAUACGGGAUAACAUAUUUGAGAGGCAUCUCUUGAAUAUCAAAGGUGAGCCAGUACAGGAUGGACCCGCGUCUGAUUAGCUAGUUGGUAAGGUAACGGCUUACCAAGGCGACGAUCAGUAGCCGACCUGAGCGGGUGAUCGGCCACAUUGGAACUGAGACACGGUCCAAACUCCUACGGGAGGCAGCAGUGGGGAAUAUUGCACAAUGGGCGAAAGCCUGAUGCAGCAACGCCGCGUGAGUGAUGAAGGCCUUCGGGUCGUAAAACUCUGU